rnacentral:rRNA from 1 species
GACGAACGCUGGCGGCGUGCCUAACACAUGCAAGUCGAACGGACAGGCCCUGCUCUUGUGGGGUGCUCGAGUGGCGAACGGGUGUGUAACACGCGUGUAUCCUGCCCCUGACUUUGUGAUAACUCCACGAAACUCCGGCUCUUAUCGCAUAGGAGCUCCUGCAGCACGGUGGUGGUUGGAAAGUUUCGGCGGUUGGGGAUGGACUCGCGGCUUAUCAGCUUGAUGGUCGAGUAGUGGCUUACCAAGGCUAUGACGGAUAGCCGGCCUGAGAGGGUGACCAGCCACCAUGGGACUGAGGUACGGCGCAGACUCCUACGGGAGGCAGCGGGGGAGAGUAUGGCAGAAUGGGGGGGAGCCUGAUGCAGCAGCGCCGCGUGCGGGAUGACGGCCUUCGGGUUGUAAACCGCUUUCGCAUGAGACGAAGCGUGAGUGACGGUAAUGGAUAAAGAAGCACCGGCUAACUACGUG